rnacentral:lncRNA from 1 species
CCGCCUCCAUCAACACCAACACCAACACCAACACCAACAUCAACACCAUCAAGACCAGCACCAACACCACCAAUGUCAACACCAACACUAAUACCUCCCAUACCAAUAUAACCAACAACAACACCACUAAUACCAACACCAACACCAAUACUAACACCAAUAUCACCAACACCAACACCGCCCAUACCAACAUCACCAACACCAACACCAACACCAACGCUAC